AUACGUAUGUCGCAAGCGUUAUCCGGAAUUAUUGGGCGUAAAGGGCGCGUAGGCGGUCUUGUCGGUCAGAUGUGAAAGCCCAGGGCUCAACCCUGGACGUGCAUUUGAAACAGCAAGACUUGAGUACGGGAGAGGAAAGCGGAAUUCCUGGUGUAGAGGUGAAAUUCGUAGAUAUCAGGAGGAACACCGAUGGCGAAGGCAGCUUUCUGGACCGAUACUGACGCUGAGGCGCGAAGGCGUGGGUAGCGAACAGGAUUAGAAACCCCAGUAGUCC
rnacentral:rRNA from 1 species